rnacentral:rRNA from 1 species
GAGUUUGAUCCUGGCUCAGAACGAACGCUGGCGGCAGGCCUAACACAUGCAAGUCGAGCGCACCUUCGGGUGAGCGGCGGACGGGUGAGUAACGCGUGGGAAUAUGCCCAGAUCUACGGAAUAGCCUCGGGAAACUGAGAGUAAUACCGUAUACGCCCUUCGGGGGAAAGAUUUAUCGGAUUUGGAUUAGCCCGCGUUAGAUUAGGUAGUUGGUGGGGUAAUGGCCUACCAAGCCUACGAUCUAUAGCUGGUUUGAGAGGAUGAUCAGCCACACUGGGACUGAGACACGGCCCAGACUCCUACGGGAGGCAGCAGUGGGGAAUCUUAGACAAUGGGGGAAACCCUGAUCUAGCCAUGCCGCGUGAGUGACGAAGGCCCUAGGGUCGUAAAGCUCUUUCAGCUGUGAAGAUAAUGACGGUAGCAGCAGAAGAAACCCCGGCUAACUCCGUGCCAGCAGCCGCGGUAAUACGGAGGGGGUUAGCGUUGUUCGGAAUUACUGGGCGUAAAGCGCGCGUAGGCGGACUAGUCAGUCAGAGGUGAAAUCCCAGGGCUCAACCCUGGAACUGCCUUUGAUACUGCUAGUCUUGAGUUCGAGAGAGGUGAGUGGAAUUCCGAGUGUAGAGGUGAAAUUCGUAGAUAUUCGGAGGAACACCAGUGGCGAAGGCGGCUCACUGGCUCGAUACUGACGCUGAGGUGCGAAAGUGUGGGGAGCAAACAGGAUUAGAUACCCUGGUAGUCAAUCGA